AUGCUAAGCAGCACAGUCUGUUGUUUUGUUGUCCAUGUUGCUAUGCGACCAUCAGCAAGUCAAAGGCUGAAAGAAAAGACAAAUCCCGAAGAGAACGAGACGUGGAGGAAGGCAGGAAAUUGUGAGUUUUUAAGAGCCAAUAUCUGGUGCUUCUGUGUGGACCAAGGGUGCAGUGUUUGUGAAGACGAAAUGUGGGACACAAGGUCUCUCGAGAAGAUGGUGAACAGGACAUCUCUAAGCACACAGAGAGUGCUCCACACACACAUUCUGGAACUAGGAGAACAGUUAUGUCCAUGGUCAUCUCCCAAUGCUAGAACAGAUGACCACCUAAAAUUGGCCACAGACUUGGUCAAUUUACAGCCUGCGACUGGACGGGAGCAGCCUGAUGCCCCAUCCAUGGAGGAAUUUAAGCAGCUGGCAGAGAAGGAGAAACGCGCUGCCCUUAGACUCCAAGAGGAGAGUCUGCAGGCCAGUUUUCAAGAGGCCCUGCGAGCAAGGGACAGGCUGGAGGCUGAAAUGAGGCGAGAGCUCCAGGUUGAGCUGCAGGCCCAGUUCAGAGCUCGUUGUGAAGGCCUGAGGGCUCAGAUGGAGGCAGAGAAGGUCCAGGCCGUAGGGGAGGCCUGCAGGAAGCUGCAAGAACAGCUGCACAAAGAAGCAGAGGAGACCAGAGAGAAAAUAAUACACACUGUACGAGAAGAGACACAGGAGUGUGUGAGGAGGUGUGUGCAAGAUGCCGAGAGAAGCAUUCGUGAGGAGUGUGACAUGAAGGCAGAAAGAGAGAAAUGGGCCCUACAGGACAGACAUGAAGAGGAGAAAUCUGAGCUACAAAACAGGAUGCAGCAGCUGCGGGACAGUCUGGAGCAGGCCUGCAGGGAGCGCAUUCAGUAUGAAGCAGAGUUUAAGAAGGUGCAGGCCAGCUACAGACGGUUUGUGGACUUGACCGAUUCCUCCCUCCACUCUGAUUACCUCUUAAAGCUGCGCAGACUGGGGAGAGAGCCAGGUCUCAUGGACACUGCGACACAGACUGAUGAGAUCACCUCCUAACUGUGAUCUUGUGAUGGCGGUGUUCUCACGUCACAACGUCUGGGUAUUUGACAUGUCCUGCAGUACAUGCUGUACUUGGUCUAAAAUCAUUUUUAAGCAUUUAUCUAACAUUUUCUAGAAAUUAAAGGAAUAUUUGUCAUUUGAAAAUAUAUUUGAUGCACUGCAGAAUUAUUUGAGUGAGCUUGAAAGUGGUUAGAAAUUAUGAAAACCAUCUAAAAUAUACUUUCCUUCAUACGUUUAUCUUCCUAAACUUUACAACCUAUUUUUUAGUUAUGAAAUGUGUUGACAGUUGCAUAAUAAAUAGGGGAAAAUGCAUAUAUUACUGUAUGUA
ensembl:lncRNA